GACGAACGCUGGCGGCGUGCUUAACACAUGCAAGUCGAACGGAAAGGCCCUGCUUUUGUGGGGUGCUCGAGUGGCGAACGGGUGAGUAACACGCGAGUAACCUGCCCUUGACUUUGGGAUAACUUCAGGAAACUGGGGCUAAUACCGGAUAGGAGCUCCUGCUGCACGGUGGGGGUUGGAAAGUUUCGGCGGUUGGGGAUGGUCUGGCGGCUUAUCAGCUUGUUGGUGGGGUAGUGGCUUACCAAGGUUUUGACGGGUAGCCGGCCUGAGAGGGUGACCGGCCACAUUGGGACUGAGAUACGGCCCAGACUCCUACGGGCGGCAGCAGUGGAGAAUAUUGCACAGUGGGCGGAAGCGUGAUGCAGCAACGCCGCGUGCGGGAUGACGGCCUUCGGGUUGUAAACCACUUUCGCAUGUGACGAAGCGUGAGUGACGGUAAUGGGUAAAAAAGCACCGGCUAACUACGUG
rnacentral:rRNA from 1 species